ensembl:lncRNA
CUUUUAUUAUGCGCCAUCAAGUCACUAGUACAUUUUUCAUGGAAGGAGGGGCAGGAUUUCUUCCCGUCCCCCAAAUUUCUUGUUCGAGGGUCCCCCCCCCACUGUUGUGAUUCUCUCUUAUUGUCGGCAGUGACAACUCCAGGGCUGGAGCGCAUCAUUUCUACUUCCAAAAGUGACAACGGGAAGGCCUUGGGAAGACCCGUUGGGGGGUCAACCUUCUCCCAAUCUGAUUCAGGCCCCGCCAUGGAACGUGUCCAUUUUUUCUCCUCCACUGAGGACAGAACAGCAGGGGGUGCCAAAAUUCCCACUGCAGCCAAUGGGGAAGGGGUGUCCCUGACCAAAGGUCUCCAUCAUGGUUGGACAUCUUCCUCCUAGGGAGAGCCUCACCUUACUCUGUCACAGGACUAUAACUCUGUACUCCAUUUGCUUUUUAAAAAGCUUUCUUUCCAGGGUUUAUCUUGGUAAUGCUAUUCUGUUUUUUUAAAGGUUUUUUUUUUAUAACAUGAAAUGUACAAUCCUUUUGUCAAUCAACAAGUCUCUCAGAAAUCCCAGCUAGCCUCAUUCCCUUGCAAGAAAUACCAUCCUCUUGUCUUAGGCUGAGCCGGUGAUCUAUUCCUCAUUGUAAGCAGACCAACAUUUAAGUGGUGUCUUUGGCUUUCUUAUUAUUUCCAGGUCUUGGGUGUUGGUGUAUCUUCUGUCCCUUUUUUGGCAUGAGAUAAAAGAAGAUGUUUUCCGUACCUUGUUACAAAAGGGUUAAAUUUACACACAGAGACACGGACACAUGGUGGGGAAGGAGGGGGGGACCUAACACGCUCCUGGCCUCAUUCUGUUUGGAAAGAAGACAUUGACACCCAGAGUGUCAUCCAUCCCUUUAUUGCAAAGAUCAUACUCUCACUUGGGUUUGUCUGUUCACAGCCGUCUCCUCCCUCCUCCUUCCCUCCCUCCUUCUCUCUCUCUCUCUCUCUUUUUCUCCUUUGCUUCCUCUCCAUCAGGAAGAAACAGCUUGGAGUGUUCUGCAGUUCAAACAUUAAGACUCUGAGAACGGCAUGGUCGAAACGCUGCGUUAAAACGAAAUCCACCGAAGUGAAGUCACCAGUCAAUCCUAUAAAGGCGCUAGCGAGAUCUAAAAUAAGGUUUAAAUUCAGGCAUUCUUCGGCCCGGCCGUUGAAAUCGAUGAGACUCCAGUUCCAUACCAGUUCCUUCCCUCCCACUGAUUUUCGACGAGUUUAGUCGAAGUCUGAAGCUCUGGAUCCACACCCACCACUCCCGCAGCUAGCAGCUGAUUACUGAAAUACGGAGGACGUGAGUCUCUAUUGCGGGCGGUCCUCCCCCUUCAGUUACUGGUGGCUCUCCCACGACGACUGGGGCCGGAUUCCGACCCUCAGCAUCUCUCAGCCGAGAAGACCACGGUGGCGUCUGAGCCCCAACGAUUAAGCCAGAAAGCCAGCCGAGUUUGCCACAGCUCAGACCCUUGGCUUCUGCUCUUCCUCUUUUUCUUUCUCUUUUUUAAAGAAAGCUGCCUCGAUCCACCACCAUCACCGGGACUCUGCAGGACCCCUUCACCGCCCACCGGAUUUAUUAUUUAUUUACGCUUUUACACUUGUAAACCGCUGGUUUGGAUGGCCAGUUCGGGUGGCGUACAAAACAGUCAAUGAUUCGGGCCGUUAUAUAUAUAUAUGUGAUUUUUAAUUUUUAAGUGGGCUUGAGGGAACAAUCCCUCAUAGGGAACGGAAACAGGCAUGCACUCCUCGGAAGCCCGAAUCAUUGACUGUUUUGUACGCCACUUAUAGGGAACGGAAACAGACAUGCGCUCCUCAGGAGCCCGAAUCAUUGACUGUUUUGUACGCCACCGGAAUUGGCCAUCCAGAUCAGCGGUUUACAAGUGUAAAAUGUUUGGGUUUUUUGUUUGUUUAACUUAUAUGCCGCCCACACUACCCAAAGGUCUCUGGGCGGCUUACAACAAUUAAUUCCUUGGGCACCGUGUUGCCCCCCCUCCCCACCUCUCACCAGCCCUCCACUGGCAGAGCCCCCAACCCCGUCCAUAUAUUCCCCAGAGAGGGCCGAGUUCCCCUAUGGCUGGGCCGGGAAGAGGGGAGCGGGAUUUGUCAAGGCUGCAGCGUCGCUCAAUAGAGCCUGUGCGGACGGAGGCUCUGUCCGUCCCAAAGCCUCGUACAGCCGCGUCCCCCUGCAUGCAAUGCAGUGGUUCGUUAAAAAAAAGAGCCGCCAUCUGGGUGAGGGUCUCUGGCGGAGGGGAAGGGAGGGGUGUGCUGUGAGGAGGAAGGGAGGGAGCACAAAUCCGAGGGGACUGCUCAUGUUUUAUAGAAGGCGACGGGAUCCCUAGUCCGAAAAGGUUAACUCUUUCUACCGGGUGAACUCGAGUUAAUAUUCAUAGGCAUCGGUUAAUUUAAUAUUUUAUAAAACAAAUGUGAAUUUCAUCAAUGAAUUUAUUCAAUAAAUGUGAAUUUCGUCAAUGAGUCCA